rnacentral:rRNA from 1 species
CGCCCGCUCAGAAACUUAAAGGAAUUGACGGGACCCGCACAAGCGGUGGAGCAUGUGGUUUAAUUCGACGAUACGCGAAGAACCUUACCUGGCCUUGACAUACUAAAAAGCUUUAAGAGAUUAGAGUGUGCUAGCUUGCUAGAAUUUAGAUACAGGUGCUGCACGGCUGUCGUCAGCUCGUGUCGUGAGAUGUUGGGUUAAGUCCCGCAACGAGCGCAACCCUCGUGUUUAGUUGCUAACAGUUCGGCUGAGAACUCUAAACAGACUGCCUACGCAAGUAGGAGGAAGGUGAGGACGACGUCAAGUCAUCAUGGCCCUUACGGCCAGGGCUACACACGUGCUACAAUGGGGUAUACAAAGAGCAGCGAUACGGUGACGUGGAGCAAAUCUAGAAAAUGCCUCUCAGUUCGGAUUGUAGUCUGCAACUCGACUACAUGAAGUUGGAAUCGCUAGUAAUCGUAGAUCAGCAAUGCUACGGUGAAUACGUUCCCGGGUCUU